GGUGCGGGAGCUGGCGCGGGACGUGCGGGGGCAGCUGGCGCCCUGGGCCGCCCUCGUGGCCGUGCUGGUGGUGGCCCCGCAGGAGGCGGCGGCGGCAGGCGAGGCGGAGGCGGCCCGCUUGCGGCUGGAGGCGCUGCUGCGGCGGGCGUGCGCGCGGCGGCGGCCGGCCCAGCACGAAGCGCUCCAAGCCGCCCUCUACAGCCCCGGCGCCCCCCACGCCGCCGCCCCCGUCCGCCUCGCCGCCCUCCGCGCCCUCCGCGCCGCCCUCCAGCUGCGGGCAGAUGGGGUGGAAACGGAGAAGCCGAGACUCCCCGCCUUCUUGAGGUGCUUUUCUUGGGGCAGAAGGAACCAGAAGGCCGCAGGCUGUUUGGGCGAACCGGCAGACGCCUCUGGGGACGGUGGCCUGCAAGAGGCAGAAGAAGGGGUCGCUUUGACCAACCUGGCCCCAAAUGGAAUUUGUGAAGAAGUCUGUGGAAUGGCAGGCACUUAGGACCCGGGGUCGAAUCUUGCCUGGAUUAGACUGGGGCCAGUCAUCUCCAGAUAAUGGAUCAGAAGGCAGGAUGUUCCCAGCAUGCUCUUCCGAGAAGGCAACCGGGACACUUCCGUUAUAUCUUGGAGGAAGGUUCUUGCCUGAUGGGGAAGAAUCCCCUUUUCUAGCUCUGUUUUCAUGCCAACGAUGGAUGACUUUUGACCUUUGAGGAUUGCGCUGGAAGUGUGUGGAGAGCCCGAGAGCCAGUUUGGCGUAGUGCUUAAGUGCGCGGACUCUUCUCUGGGAGAACCGGGUUUGAUUCCCCACUCCACCACAUGCACCUGUUGAUGUGACCUUGAGUCAGUUAUAAGUUCUCACACAGCUGUCCCUUUCAAGAGCUCUCUCAGCUCCACCUACCUCACAGGGUGUCUGUUGUGGGGAGGGGAAGGGAAAGGAGAUUGUAAGCCGGUCUGGGACUCCUUCGGGUAGGGAAGGGCGGGAUAUAAAUCCAAUCUCUUCUUCUUAUACAACGGAAGCUGCGUGUCAGUUUAACAGAUGUGGCCGGCCUGGUGCUUCAACUGGAUGAACAUCUUCAUCGUACCA